GAUGAAGAACGCAGCGAAAUGCGAUAAGUAGUGUGAAUUGCAGAAUUCAGUGAAUCAUCGAAUCUUUGAACGCACAUUGCGCCCUUUGGUAUUCCUUAGGGCAUGCCUGUUCGAGCGUCAUUUAAACCUUCAAGCUCAGCUUGGUGUUGGGUGACUGUCCGCUUCACCGCGGACUCGCCUCAAAAUUAUUGGCGGCCGGUACAUUGGCUUCGAGCGCAGCAGAAACGCGAACUCGGGCCCGUCGUAUUGGCUCCCAGAAGCUAUCUUCACAAUGUUGACCUCGGAUCAGGUAGGGAUACCCGCUGAACUUAAGCAUAUCAAUAAGCGGAGGA
rnacentral:misc_RNA from 1 species